rnacentral:rRNA from 1 species
GACGAACGCUGGCGGCGUGCUUAACACAUGCAAGUCGAACGGAAAGGCCCUGCUUGCAGGGUACUCGAGUGGCGAACGGGUGAGUAACACGUGGGUGAUCUGCCCUGCACUUCGGGAUAAGCCUGGGAAACUGGGUCUAAUACCGGAUAUGACCUUCCAUGGAGUGUGGGGGGUGGAAAGAUUUAUCGGUGUGGGAUGAGCCCGCGGCCUAUCAGCUUGUUGGUGGGGUAAUGGCCUACCAAGGCGUCGACGGGUAGCCGGCCUGAGAGGGUGGACGGCCACAUUGGGACUGAGAUACGGCCCAGACUCCUACGGGAGGCAGCAGUGGGGAAUAUUGCACAAUGGGCGGAAGCCUGAUGCAGCGACGCCGCGUGGGGGAUGACGGCCUUCGGGUUGUAAACCUCUUUCGACAGGGACGAAGCUUCGGUGACGGUACCUGUAUAAGAAGCACCGGCUAACUACGUG